rnacentral:rRNA from 1 species
CGGGAGGCAGCAGUCGGGAAUAUUGCGCAAUGGAGGAAACUCUGACGCAGUGACGCCGCGUAUAGGAUGAAGGUCUUCGGAUUGUAAACUAUUGUCGUUAGGGAAGAGAAAGGACAGUACCUAAGGAGGAAGCUCCGGCUAACUACGUGCCAGCAGCCGCGGUAAUACGUAGGGAGCAAGCGUUAUCCGGAUUUAUUGGGUGUAAAGGGUGCGUAGACGGGAAAUUAAGUUAGUUGUGAAAUCCCCAGGCUUAACUUGGGAACUGCAACUAAAACUGGUUUUCUUGAGUGCUGGAGAGGAAAGCGGAAUUCCUAGUGUAGCGGUGAAAUGCGUAGAUAUUAGGAGGAACACCAGUGGCGAAGGCGGCUUUCUGGACAGUAACUGACGUUGAGGCACGAAAGUGUGGGGAGCAAACAGGAUUAGAUACCCUGGUAGUCCACACCGUAAACGAUGAAUACUAGGUGUAGGGUAUGUCAUGUACUCUGUGCCGUCGCAAACGCAAUAAGUAUUCCACCUGGGGAGUACGGCCGCAAGGUUGAAACUCAAAGGAAUUGACGG